CUGCUGGAAGGGCUGCUGGAAGCCAUCUUCGCACGGUUCUUCCCUUGGCUUUAGAGCCCCGAAGCGCUCUUUGACUUGAGCUGCUUUGCAUUCUCUCUGUCCUGCCAUCGAGAAAGUUCUGAGCGGCUCAGAAGUAAUACUGACACUCUAUCCCUCCGAGGAAUUCUGCCCCAGACAGCAGAGAGAUGGGGGGCAGGGGACACAUGGCCAUGAGGACAGAGAGCCCUGAGAGGGACUGGGGAAUCGAGACAUCGUUUUCAAAUAAUUGCAGCAAUCAAGAGAGACUGUACAUCCCAUCCCAGACAAAGGGAGACCUGUGAGUCCUGAGUGAGGCAAAAUUUGACUUGAAACAAGUAGCUUGGGCAGGGAGGUGAGCGCUCUGCCCACAGGGAGGAGGUGGAUGAUGAAAGAAAGCGCCGUGGCGAACUCGGUUCUUUGCAAGGGUGCAUCUUUUAAAAUGAGAGAAUGGAGCUGGGCGCAGUGGUUCACGCCUGUAAUCCCUGCACUUUGGGAGGCCGAGGCAGGCAAAUCACCUGAGGUCAGGAGUUCCAGACCGGCUGGGCAACAUGGUGAAACCCUGUCUCUACUAAAAAUAUGAAAAAAAGUUAGCCAGGCGUCCGCGUGCCUGUAAUUCCAGCUACUCAGGAGACUGAGGCAGGAGAAUCGCUUGAACCUGGGAGGCAGAGGUUGCAGUGAGCCGAGAUCACGCCACUGCACUCCAGCCUGGGCGAUAAGAGUGAAACUCUGUCUCAAAAUAAAUAAAUAAAUAAAUAAAUAAAUAAUCUUAAAAAAAAUAAAAAGAAAACUAGAGAAUGAUGACUUCUGUUUACCAUGUGCCUGGUUUCCUGUCCUGUCUGUGAUCCUGUUGCUGUUUGCUGUCAACUGUUCCUGCUUCAGUGAUAUUAGAAGGGUUCAAGGAGAAUGUGGGUCCCCUCCUUGCCUGCUCUGGGCCUUCCCCUGUUUCUGGCCUGUUUCAUCUCCACCCCCGUUGGAUCUGAGCUCCUUGAGGGUGGCCCCUACACCCUGCAGUGCUGAGCAUUGGGAGGUGUGAGGGUUGCUGAAGGCUGGGGGUUGGUGCUUUUCUUCAUUCAGCAGUCAUCAUUUAUUGAGCACCCACUGUUUGCCAGCUCCUUGGCUAAGCAUUUCAAGCCCUGUUCCAUGGGCUCAGUCUUCCAGGGGCUGGCCGCUAACUACGCAUCGAUUGAUUUCCAGAAGGACAGAAGCACAUAGCAGGGCCUGGUCUCCACUGGGGGUGCCAGGAGCUG
rnacentral:lncRNA from 1 species